rnacentral:rRNA from 1 species
AGUACCGGAGCUAACGCGUGAAGUUGACCGCCUGGGGAGUACGGCCGCAAGGUUAAAACUCAAAGGAAUUGACGGGGACCCGCACAAGCGGUGGAUGAUGUGGAUUAAUUCGAUGCAACGCGAAAAACCUUACCUACCCUUGACAUGUCCAGAAGCUCUUAGAGAUUUGAGUGUGCCCGAAAGGGAGCUGGAACACAGGUGCUGCAUGGCUGUCGUCAGCUCGUGUCGUGAGAUGUUGGGUUAAGUCCCGCAACGAGCGCAACCCUUGUCGUUAAUUGCCAUCAUUUAGUUGGGCACUUUAACGAGACUGCCGGUGACAAACCGGAGGAAGGUGGGGAUGACGUCAAGUCCUCAUGGCCCUUAUGGGUAGGGCUUCACACGUCAUACAAUGGUCGGUACAGAGGGUUGCCAAGCCGCGAGGUGGAGCCAAUCCCAGAAAGCCGAUUGUAGUCCGGAUUGCAG